GCCUAGAGAAUCUGUCAAAUUUUGAGUACCAACUCAAAAAGUUUUGCAUACUCAUAAGCAAGGAUUAGACACUGCAUAUCAGUGACCACAAAACUGAUCUCAUGCAUGUACUAGAUUGCGAAUAAUGGGAAAGUUAAUAGCCAAGCACUACUAAAGACACAAGAUCAUAAAAAAAGCAAACUACUAUCACAAUCACACACAAGAUCAAUAAAA
rnacentral:misc_RNA from 1 species